rnacentral:lncRNA from 8 species
GUUUACAGUAAAACCCUGUUCAGUUGGAUUCUGGGUUUACAGUAAAACCCUGUUCAGUUGGAUUCCAUUCUGGGUUUACAGUAAAACCCUGUUCAGUUAGAUUCCAUUCUAGGUUUACAGUAACUUCCUACCCAUAAUGCUUUGAGUUUCAUCGGCUUCACAUGAACAUGACAACAAGUAAAAAAAAAAUUAUAAUAAAAAAAAACUCUUUCAAGACUUUAUUAACGUGGAAGAAAAUUCAACUUUUAAAAAAACAAAACAUAUUAACAUUUUAAUUAAAUCUGGAGAGAAAAUAUUUGUACAAGACGAACUACAGGUAAAAACAGGAGCAUGUACAUGAUACAGUCUGUCAGCACGGUUCGAUUCCCACAACACCUAGCGUACUACAGACCAGAUAGAGAAGUGGAUUACAGACAGGAUGUUAAGUCAGACAAACAUCCAGAGGGGAGACAGACAGGUAGGGGAGAGAGAGAGACAGGUAGGGGAGAGAGAGAGACAGGUAGGGGAGAGAGAGAGACAGGUAGGGGAGAGAGAGAGAGAGUGGUGACCAGAGAGAGACAGGUAAAGGG